rnacentral:rRNA from 1 species
GCAUAUCAAUAAGCGGAGGAAAAGAAACCAACAGGGAUUGCCCCAGUAACGGCGAGUGAAGCGGCAACAGCUCAAAUUUGAAAUCUGGCUUCGGCCCGAGUUGUAAUUUGCAGAGGAAGCUUUAGGCGCGGCACCAUCUGAGUCCCCUGGAACGGGGCGCCACAGAGGGUGAGAGCCCCGUAUAGAUGGACGCCUAGCCUGUGUAAAGCUCCUUCGACGAGUCGAGUAGUUUGGGAAUGCUGCUCUAAAUGGGAGGUAAAUUUCUUCUAAAGCUAAAUACCGGCCAGAGACCGAUAGCGCACAAGUAGAGUGAUCGAAAGAUGAAAAGCACUUUGAAAAGAGGGUUAAAUAGCACGUGAAAUUGUUGAAAGGGAAGCGCUUGUGACCAGACUUGCGCCGGGCGGAUCAUCCGGUGUUCUCACCGGUGCACUCCGCCCGGCUCAGGCCAGCAUCGGUUCUCGUGGGGGGACAAAGGUCCCGGGAACGUAGCUCCUCCGGGAGUGUUAUAGCCCGGGGCGUAAUGCCCUCGCGGGGACCGAGGACCGCGCUUCGGCAAGGAUGCUGGCGUAAUGGUCAUCAGCGACCCGUCUUGAAACACGGACCAAGGAGUCAAGGUUUUGCGCGAGUGUUUGGGUGUAAAACCCGCACGCGUAAUGAAAGUGAACGUAGGUGAGAGCUUCGGCGCAUCAUCGACCGAUCCUGAUGUUUUCGGAUGGAUUUGAGUAGGAGCGUUAAGCCUUGGACCCGAAAGAUGGUGAACUAUGCUUGGAUAGGGUGAAGCCAGAGGAAACUCUGGUGGAGGCUCGCAGCGGUUCUGACGUGCAAAUCGAUCGUCAAAUCUGAGCAUGGGGGCGAAAGACUAAUCGAACCAUCUAGUAGCUGGUUACCGCCGAA